GACGAACGCUGGCGGCGUGCUUAACACAUGCAAGUCGAACGGAAAGGCCCUGCUUUUGUGGGGUGCUCGAGUGGCGAACGGGUGAGUAACACGUGAGUAACCUGCCCUUGACUUUGGGAUAACUCCAGGAAACUGGGGCUAAUACCGGAUAGGAGCUCCUGCUGCAUGGAGGGGGUUGGAAAGUUUCGGCGGUUGGGGAUGGACUCGCGGCUUAUCAGCUUGUUGGUGGGGUAGUGGCUUACCAAGGCUUUGACGGGUAGCCGGCCUGAGAGGGUGACCGGCCACAUUGGGACUGAGAUACGGCCCAGACUCCUACGGGAGGCAGCAGUGGGGAAUAUUGCACAAUGGGCGGAAGCCUGAUGCAGCAACGCCGCGUGCGGGAUGACGGCCUUCGGGUUGUAAACCGCUUUCGCCUGUGACGAAGCGUGAGUGACGGUAAUGGGUAAAGGAGCACCGGCUAACUACGUG
rnacentral:rRNA from 1 species